rnacentral:rRNA from 1 species
CACUGCUCUGACGGAUGCUUUUAUUAGACCAAGCCGCUGAGGACUUGAGGGUUCGCUCUCCUGUCUGACUCGUGUAAUGGGGACUCUGGAUAACCAAUCGGACAAGCGCACGUAGUUCUCUUCUGAGCGAGACGGCGCUGCCACUUUCGAGUGUCUGCCUUAUCAGCUAUCAACCGUUCGAUAUGGGCGACCGAUGGCUCUGACGGGUAACGGGGAAUCAGGAUUCGAUUCCGGAGAGGCAGCCUGAGAGACGGCUACCACGUCCAAGGACGGCAGCAGGCACGCAAAUUACCCAAUCCCAGUAAAUGGGGGAGGUAGUGACGAAAUCUAACGAUGCGGGCGCCCUUUCUGGGGCCCCGCAAUCGGAAUGGGCACUUUCUAAACAACCUGUUGAGAACCUACUGAAGGGCAAGUCUGGUGCCAGCAGCCGCGGUAAUUCCAGCUUCAGCAGCAUCUAUUAAAGUUGCUGCGGUUAAAAGGCUCGCAGUUGAAUGUCUGUAUCGAGCGCAGGUCAGGUGGACGUUGGGGCGUGGAAGUACGGGCAGUUGGAUGUCCGUGGGGCCUUCGUGCUCAACGGCUCCUUCGGCUUUUCCACACACCCCCGUCCGUGACAAGCCUCCUCGCUCGGGUACAUAACGGGAAUCGGUCAAACGGAGUGUGGUUGGAGGUUGGGGUGCGUGGCUUCUGUUGCGUGCUUCUUCUUUCGGCUGCGUUAAGCUCCAUCGGUUUCACGGUCACCUUGAGUAAAUCAGAGUGCUCAAAGCAGUCGUAGGGGCCUUGCGCCCUGUGAACAGUCUUGACGGACUGACUUGGUUUUGCAUGGCAUGUCGGAAGACGACGUCGUGUGCUGGCUCAGAGGAUAAAUCAGUGGUACAAGCCAGCCUCGACGUAAUGAUUAAAAGGGACGGUCGAGGGCAUUGGUAUUGCGAGGCGAGAGGUGAAAUUCUGUGACCCCCGCAAGACCUCCUGAAGCGAAAGCGUCUGCCAAGGACGUUUU